UUGACCUCAAAUCGGGUGAGACUACCCGCUGAACUUAAGCAUAUCAAUAAGCGA
rnacentral:rRNA from 1 species